CAAUUUUCUGCCACCGAAUACAUUAGCAUGGGAUAAUGGAAUAGGACCCUGUCCUCCUAUUUUCAGUUGGUUUUGGCAGCGCGAGGACUAGGGUAAUGAUUAAUAGGGAUAGUUGGGGGCAUUAAUAUUUAAUUGUCAGAGGUGAAAUUCUUGGAUUUAUGAAAGAUUAACUUCUGCGAAAGCAUCUGCCAAGGAUGUUUUCAUUAAUCAAGAACGAAAGUUAGGGGAUCGAAGACGAUCAGAUACCGUCGUAGUCUUAACCAUAAACGAUGCCGACCAGCGAUUAGGAGACGUUGAAUACAAAACACCACCAUCGGUGCGGUCGUCCUUGGCGUCGGUCUUUCGGGGCCGGCGCGGGGACGGCUUAGCCCGGUGGCACCGGUGAAUGACUCCCCUAGCAGCUUGUGAGAA
rnacentral:rRNA from 1 species